CCUACGGGAGGCAGCAGUGAGGAAUAUUGGUCAAUGGCCGGAAGGCUGAACCAGCCAAGUCGCGUGAGGGAAGACGGCCCUACGGGUUGUAAGCCUCUUUUGUCAGGGAGCAAGGUGCAGGUCGGGACCUGCUGUGAGAGUACCUGAAGAAAAAGCAUCGGCUAACUCCGUGCCAGCAGCCGCGAGAAUACGGAGGAUGCGAGCGUUAUCCGAAUUGAUUGGGUUUAAAGGGUGCGCAGGCGGAGGCACAAGUCAGCGGUAAAAUCGCGGGGCGCAACCCCGCCCCGCCGUUGAAACUGUGUGCCUGGAGUGCGCGAAGGGUAGGCGGAAUGCGUGGUGUAGCGGUGAAAUGCAUAGAGAUCACGCAGAACUCCGAUCGCGAAGGCAGCCUACCGGCGCGCAACUGACGCUCAUGCACGAAAGCGUGGGUAUCGAACAGGAUUAGAUACCCUUGUAGUC
rnacentral:rRNA from 1 species